rnacentral:ncRNA from 1 species
UUUAGCCGGAUGAAAGGAAACUUUCACGUCCGAUUUUUAGGGGGGGGGGGGGGGGAGAUCCUAUCCCAAU